UAAUUGAAGAGUUUGAUCAUGGCUCAGAUUGAACGCUGGCGGCAGGCCUAACACAUGCAAGUCGAGCGGUAACAGGGGAAGCUUGCUUCUCGCUGACGAGCGGCGGACGGGUGAGUAAUGUAUGGGGAUCUGCCCGAUAGAGGGGGAUAACUACUGGAAACGGUAGCUAAUACCG
rnacentral:rRNA from 1 species